rnacentral:rRNA from 1 species
AACGAACGCUGGCGGCAUGCCUAACACAUGCAAGUCGAACGGGACCAUCGGGACAGGUGGCGCUUGGGGGCGGAAAGCGGGGGAAGCGGCACGUAGGUACCGGAUAACUCCCCGUAGGGGGGGCUAAUGCCGGGAAAUGUAUGCGGACACAGGAUUUGUCGCACUGGGGUGGGCCCGGGUUGGUUUAGCUAGUUGGGAGGGUAAAAGCCGACCAAGGCGACGAUCCAUAGCUGGGCUGAGAGGCUGAUCGGCCACGCUGGGACUGAGACACGGCCCAGACUCCUACGGGAGGCAGCAGUGGGGAAUAUUGGACAAUGGGCGAAAGCCUGAUCCCGCCAUGCCGCGUGAGUGAUGAAGGCCUUAGGGUUGUACAGCUCUUUCACCCGGGAUGAUAAUGACAGUACCGGGAGAAUAAGCUCCGGCUAACUCCGUG